rnacentral:rRNA from 1 species
CAGCAGCCGCGGGAAUACAGAGGAUGCAAGCGUUAUCCGGAAUGAUUGGGCGUAAAGGGAGCGUAGGCGGGUCGUUUAGCCAGAGGUGAAAUCCCGGGGCUCAACCUCGGAACUGCCUUUGAUACUGGCGACCUUGAGUAUGGGAGAGGUAAGUGGAACUCCGAGUGUAGAGGUGAAAUUCGUAGAUAUUCGGAAGAACACCAGUGGCGAAGGCGACUUACUGGCCCAUUACUGACGCUGAGGCUCGAAAGCGUGGGGAGCAAACAGGAUUAGAUACCCCUGUAGUCCCUGUCUCUUAUAA